UACCGAGUUCUUCUUACUCGAAACCCUUUGUGAACCUUUAUACCCGUUGCUUCGGCGGCGCCGAGCUCCCGCGAGGGAGGGAGGCGCCCGCCGGUGUAUUCAGAAUCUCUGUUUGAACCCGACGUUACCUCUGAGUGUUCUAAGCGAACUGUUAAAACUUUCAGCAACGGAUCUCUUGGCUCUAGCAUCGAUGAAGAACGCAGCGAAACGCGAUAAGUAGUGUGAAUUGCAGAAUUCAGUGAAUCAUCGAAUCUUUGAACGCACAUGGCGCCCCCCGGUAUCCCGGGGGGCAUGCCUGUCCGAGCGUCGUUUCAACCCUCGGGCUCUUAGUAGCCCGGCGUUGGGGACCUACGCGCCGACGUAGGCCCCGAAAAGCAGUGGCGGACCCGCGCCGGCCCCCCCUUUGCGUAGUAGCAUUAGCCUCGCAUCGGGAGCCCGCGGGACCUCCGGCCUCUAAACCCCACUAAAGCCCGCUCCGGCGGCACCAAGGUUGACCUCGGAUCAGGUAGGAAUACCCGCUGAACUUAAGCAUAUCAAUAAGCGGAGGAAAAGAAACCAACAGGGAUUGCCUCAGUAACGGCGAGUGAAGCGGCAACAGCUCAAAUUUGA
rnacentral:rRNA from 1 species